UACGUAGGGUGCAAGCGUUAAUCGGAAUUACUGGGCGUAAAGCGUGCGCAGGCGGUUGUGCAAGACAGAUGUGAAAGCCCUGGGCUCAACCUGGGAAUUGCAUUGGAUACUGGCGGGCUAGAGUACGGUAGAGGGUGGCGGAAUUCCUGGUGUAGCAGUGAAAUGCGUAGAUAUCAGGAGGAACAUCCGUGGCGAAGGCGGCCACCUGGACCAGUACUGACACUGAGGCACGAAAGCGUGGGGAGCAAACAGG
rnacentral:rRNA from 1 species